GAUUCAACGGCCGCGGUACUCUGACCGUGCGAAGGUAGCACAAUCACUUGUUCUUUAAAUGAGGACUAGAAUCAAUGGCAUCACGAGGGUCCCACUGUCUCCUUUUUCUAAUCAGUGAAAUUGAUCUCCCCGUGAAGAAGCGGGGAUAAUUUUAUAAGACGAGAAGACCCCAUGGAGCUUCAAACUCAACAGAUAACUCUAUGACUACAAGAUAUUUUAAGAGACCUAUCCGUUAGUCUUGGGUUGGGGUGACCACGGAGAACAACCUAACCUCCGCAGUGAAAAGAAUAAAAUCAUAAUCCGAGAGCCACACCUCUAAGAAUUAACAAAUUAACAUACAGUGAUCCAAUUUUUAUUGAUCAAUGAACCAAGUUACCCUGGGGAUAACAGCGCUAUCCACUUCUAGAGUCCCUAUCGCCAAGUGGGUUUACGACCUCGAUGUUGGAUCAGGGUGUCCAAGUGGUGCAGCC
rnacentral:rRNA from 2 species